rnacentral:rRNA from 1 species
GCUGGCGGCAGGCCUUAUACAUGCAAGUCGAGCGCAUCCUUCGGGAUGAGCGGCGGACGGGUGAGUAACGCGUGGGAAUGUGCCCUUCUCUACGGAAUAGCCACUGGAAACGGUGAGUAAUACCGUAUACGCCCUCAGGGGGAAAGAUUUAUCGGAGAAGGAUCAGCCCGCGUCAGAUUAGGUAGUUGGUGGGGUAAUGGCCUACCAAGCCUACGAUCUAUAGCUGGUUUUAGAGGAUGAUCAGCCACACUGGGACUGAGACACGGCCCAGACUCCUACGGGAGGCAGCAGUAGGGAAUCUUGGACAAUGGGGGCAACCCUGAUCCAGCCAUGCCGCGUGAGUGAAGAAGGCCCUAGGGUCGUAAAGCUCUUUCGCCUGUGAUGAUAAUGACAGUAGCAGGUAAAGAAACCCCGGCUAACUCCGUGCCAGCAGCCGCGGUAAUACGGAGGGGGUUAGCGUUGUUCGGAAUUACUGGGCGUAAAGCGCGCGUAGGCGGAUUGGAAAGUUGGGGGUGAAAUCCCGGGGCUCAACCCCGGAACUGCCUUCAAAACUCCCAGUCUAGAGUUCGAGAGAGGUGAGUGGAAUUCCGAGUGUAGAGGUGAAAUUCGUAGAUAUUCGGAAGAACACCAGUGGCGAAGGCGGCUCACUGGCUCGAUACUGACGCUGAGGUGCGAAAGUGUGGGGAGCAAACAGGAUUAGAUACCCUGGUAGUCCACACCGUAAACGAUGAAUGCCAGUCGUCGGAUAGUAUACUAUUCGGUGACACACCUAACGGAUUAAGCAUUCCGCCUGGGGAGUACGGUCGCA